CGCCAAGUGAAACUUAAAGGUAUGUAAUGUUUGUUUAUGUGAAAUUAUCGUAUUUUGGGGAGUAACAGUGUUCAAAAAUUAUUGUUGAAGUUGUGGACCGUAAGCCGGCUCGGCCUAUUAAUUUGUCGCCACAAUUGAAUUUUUGUCUUGCAGUUGUCCUUGUAUAAUUAAGUUGCUGAAUUUUAGUAUUGCCUUUCAUUAUCUUUAGUUUAAAAUAGUAGAAGAAUAUAUCCAUAAAGUAUUCAGUGUGUUUUGUAGCUAAUUUUUCUCUAAAAUUUAUCAUUUUAGUGAAAAUUCUCAGCCACGUGAGAUGGACGAAGUCGAGUAAAAUCACAUUCUUGCCUGAACUUUGGAAACAAAAUUAAACCAAAAUUAAAGAAGAAAUGUUGAAGUCUCAACGCCAAGUGAAACUCAAAGGUAUCUAAUGUUUGUUUUAUAUGAAAUUAUCGUAUUUUGGCGAGUAAAAGUGUUCAAAAUUUUUUGUUCAAGUUGAGGACCGCAUGCCGCCGGCUUGGGCGUAAAUAUGUCGCAUUAGAUUUUAGUCGCGUACUGGCAUAUAAAAUCGCUGAAUUUAGUAUCGCUUUUCGUUAUCUUUAGUUUAAAAUAGUAGAAGAACAUAUCCAUAAAGUAUUCAGUGUGUUUUGUAGCUAAAUUUUCUUUAAAAUUUGUCAUUUUAGUGAAAAUUCUCAUCCACGUGGGAUAGGCGAUGUCAAGUAAAAUCACAUUCUUCCCUGAACUUUGGAAUCAAAAUUAAACCAAAAUUAAAGAGGAAAUGUUGAAUUCUCAACGCCAAGUGAAACACAAAGGUAUGUAAUGUUUGUUUUAUAUGAAAUUAUCGAAUUUUGGCGAGUAAAAGUGUUCAAAAAUUCUUGUUGAAGUUGCCGUGGACCGCAAGCCGGCUUGGGCGUAUUAAAAUAUGUCGCAUUAGAUUUUAGUCCCGUCCUGGCAUAUAGUUGCUGAAGUUAGUAUUGCUUUUCAUUAUCUUCAGUUUAAACUAGUAGAAGAACAUAUCCAUAAAGUAUUAAGUGUGUUUUGUAGCUAAAUUUAAUUUAAUAUUUGUCAUUUUAGUGAAAAUUCGCAUCCACGUGGGAUAGGCGAAGUCAAUUAAAAUCACAUUCUUCCCCGAACUUUGGAAUCAAAAUUAA
rnacentral:lncRNA from 1 species